CCAGGAACUAAAGGUGACAUCGGGCAGGAGCAAUGACACCACCCACCAAUUGCCAUCCCACAGCACCUGAACAAGAAAAGCUGAGCAGGUCCAGCAGUGAUAACGGUUAACAGCCUGGUAACUAGAAAUCAGGUCUAUAGUAACAAGGCGGGUUGCAAGUCCAAGCAAAGCAGCAAGGCAAGGACAUGAUCUGCAAGGUUGAAAGCCAACCCACCAAAUCUCUUAUGCAAGAACUAAGGAAGAAGCAAGGGCAGAGGCCUGAGCCAGUGUCCAGCUCCUUGUUUGGGAGGCAGGGAAGGAGCUACAAAAGCCACAGGUGAAGAUUUUCUCACCACCUCUUGCCUGUUUUCACAAAAGCUAUGGCAUAUUAGUGCCUGCCUUGGAUUCUGAUAGCUAAAGACUAAGGAGAGAUGUGGAAGAGAUUGCAAAAGAGAGUUGUGGAGGAAGGUGGAUACAGGCUACAACUGCAUCAAAAGCGUGCUUUGUUCCUGUAUUUGUGUUCUUCUCUGUGAUCCUUCCCAUAUGAAAUUCAGAUUUUGCCAGACUCUUUUGGCCAGGUCCACAUGUGGUACUGGCUUGUAAGGUAUGGUUUGGUUGAGGCUGUGGCAGAGCUGGUUUGGGAACACUUUAGGGAUCACACAGAAGUUGACCUUGAGACAACGAUCUUAUGCAACUUAACAAAAAUAACACAAUGAUUUAUUGAACUAGAAGUGACUUUCACAGAAAAGCUAUCUUAUGAAUUCCAUUUGUCCUCUGCUACAAAUUUAUGAGUGGUAUCACAGGUGUUUUUAUAAAUACAUAAUCCUGGGCAAUCAAUCUAUGUAAUUGUAGUAUAGGUCAAUCUACCUUUCAAACAUUCCUUCAGUAUUUUGGCUUUUGUAUACUUUUGGUUUUUUAGCACUUCCAGCUUCCUGUUCCCAGAGACAUUCGGAAACAAGUAGUUGUAAAGGUAAGCAGAGAGCUCAGUGUUCAGUGAGUAAGGUUUUGGAAAUGUUUUUGUAGUUUACUCAUCAUGAAAAGACGAGUGACAGCUUUUAGCAUGGUUUCUAGUGAUACAUUUGAUUACAUUAUCAAUAACUGCAUAGUAAUGGCUUCCCACUGUUUCUUUCCAAUGUAGGUAGUUGCUGGUGGUGCUUUCUCGUGAAAGAAGAGGAAAGAUGGUUAUCAGGAAAAGCUAUUAGAAUGUAAACCAAGAGAAACUCAAAAAAUCUCUCCUUUUUUGCAUUACAAUGCUACUUGUUUCAGACAUUCAGAAAAGCUGCUGACUGACUGCUUUGCUUACUCUAAGCAUUCCUUUAGUUCUGUAGAUUAAAUAAA